ensembl:lncRNA
GAGGCACCAUGGGUAACACCAGUCCAAUGGCCGACACAUACUAUACCCUUGUUGUUAUUUAUCCAACGUUUCUUUGUGGAACAAAUAACUCCUUUAACCCUGUGAAUGUGUCUGUGUGUGUGCGCCUCUGGUUUUGGCCUCAGGCGGUUUAGCUGCCCGUCGUUGUGCGAAAACAGUUUCGCGCUCUCUUCAGCUGCACCCGGUUGAAAGUGGGUCUUUGACUUGCCUGAUAGCUUUUGACAGCUCACUCUCAUCCCCGGUGGAUCAAUGGAGCUCAGCGCUCUUCAUUAGAAACAUCAAUGUAGCGCACAUUCCCACAGGCUCAGCCGCAACUCACCAGCCCAGUCAGAGAGACAAGCUUUGUUUCGCUAUUCUCCAAAAGAUCCUUCUUGACUUCUGUGUGACAUUUUAUGCUUUUUAAUUGAAGAAUAUUGUGGGAACAUGAUGAAAGGGGAGUAGUUUGUUUGGCGUUAGUUCAUACUGGGGAGAUGACCGUUAGCAACACAGUGCACCUAAAAUGUGAAUAAAACAUUGUCUAUUCCGGUUUAUACAUCAUAUAGAAUAACAAAUAUGUGCACACUUCUUAUUCUCUUUGACUGAAAUGUAGGCAGGUCCUCAUAUAAUGAAUCACUACUAUUAGUGCUGAAACAAUUAGUUGUUUGACGAAGUUUGUCUGUGAAAGUGAAUCUUUUCAUUUUUCAAGCUUUCACCGGCUUCCGAAGCAAGGCGGGAUGCUUAUCUGUGUGUUUAUUGCAAUGCAAAUGGAUCUUUAGGUUUAAUACUAUUAUUUGGAUAAAACUAGCAAUUGAAAGCUGAGUGAAAGCAUUAUGAUGAUGUCUUUAGUUCAAACAAUCAAUUAUCUAAAGAAGACAUUGACAGAUUAAUUGAUUGAUCAAACCCGUUGUUUCAGCCUCGUCUACUGUGUUGUGAUAAUAAUGUCUUGGAAAGCACUUUGUCGAUUUAUACCUCGAUACUUUAUAAGAAGUGCGUGACAUAUUUUAUGCUGUAUUUCCACAUCGGAAAAAAAGCUGCUGAUUGAAAUAAUAAGCAUUUUUUCACAAGCUUAUUUCUAGAAUAAGCGUAUUAUUAUUUAACUAGAAGUAUACUUGCAGCACAUUUUUUACCAUCCAUUUUUUUCUUUAAAAUGUGUAAGCCAAUUAAAAAUGUAAUGCUUGAAUUCAUUAUGGCCAGUUUAAAAUGCCCCCCUCCCCCCCGAGCUAUCCUACACUACGUUGCCUAACGCUGCUCUGUUUAUACUGAACUUGAAUAUUAUUCCAGGGAACUCUCUGAAGAAGUUUGCUAUGUGUCGAUGCCGGCCGCAGGGUUUAUUGUAAACACAAGUGUUGCGUCAGCAAAUGCUUGAAAUGAUGCCAUCACACAUAUGGAAAUGUUGUUAUGUGCAACAAGAAACAAAUAGACACUGGGGAGACACUGGAGACGGUAGUUGGUCACAGAGGUUGUUGUCAUGAUGCUAGUUGGGAACCCGAGCCAAUGACUGCUUCACUGUCAUCAUCUUCUUUUCGAUUGGCUCUGUGGCAACUUACACAGGUAAUCACUGAGGGAAUCCGGCCCGCCCGUUGAGUCACACACACACUGGAAUGCAUUGACACACACACACACAGUCACACACACAGAGUCACACAUGCAGCUAGCUGUCACACGGAGAAAAAAGCAGUGUGUAUUUCAGCGUCUCUCUCUCUGGUCUGAUCAUCAAUAAUGCAUGAGUUAGGGAGGAUGAAAGGCUGUUUUGGCUUGAGGCGUUUGUCUCAAAAGGAGAGGGAGACACAUCAGCACCAGUAGCUGUAACUGUACAUCCAUAGAGUCAACGGCUUCUUGGCCGUCCUCAGUAGAACUGUUUCAAGAUGAAUGUACUGAUGUCAGGCUAAAUGUCUCAAUAAGAUCGUAUUCAUUUGCAUUGUGAACAUUACAGUUAUUCCUUUUGUUAUUAUACCUAUAUAUAUAUUUGUUAUUGCAAUUGCAUUUUGGUCAGAAUUGUGGAUCUAAGGAUGACCGUGUGUACAUAUUUUAAAUCCUUCUGAGGCAAUGAGGCUAUUAGUAGCUGUUUAGAAGAAUCUGGACUUUGACCAUUAGACUUUUGAUGCACCAGCUAAAGUUGUUGAUUUCAUAUUUUUAAAAGGGUCUUCAAAGUUUGAGGUGCGGUUAAGUCGUAUAACUGGUGCAACUGGUUUCAUAAUGAUAUGGAUACACGAGGCAAAGGCUCACCUCGCGUAGCCUUACCCGUCUUUAUGUAGGGGCUCAAACAGGAAAACCAUAGGGUGCUUGUUUGUAUGUGAAACAGUAGAGAGCCGCUUGGCUCGUCGUUACUCUCUGAAGAAGUGGCAGCGGCUGUUUGGCUGACACAGAUAUUAAAUCAGCAGUCCUGUUAUCUUAAAGUGUUUCACUUAUUUCUGUGGUGAUUAAAGUUACUGAACAGAGUGCAUCAUGUGGAGCAACUUCUCUUUUCUUCUCUCUCAUUUUCCCGUGAAGCCUUUGGUUAUAGACAUUCAUAUGUAAAUACAGUACAGUCUACGCGUGAGUGUGUGUGUGUGUGUUCUCAACGUGUGCGGAUGUGGGAGAGCACGCGACGGCCCUUUGAAGUUCUUCAUUCACUCGACGCGCCUCUUCCCCGUGUCUCGUCUCUCUUUGAAGACCACGUAGCCAUGAUUAUUAAAGCUGCCUUCUUUCCACUUCAAACGUAUGGAAUGAAUAUGGAUAUGAUAGGACACCAGGCGUCCCACGUACCAACACCCUCCCCUCCUCUGCCGUCCCGCCCGGUGGUGAGGUUUGAUCGGCCCUGUCGUCUCGCACAGUCUCUGCUGCCGAUGAAGUUGUCAUCGCGUGACUUGAGGCAAGAGCCAUCUGGAGAGGUUAUGAAAUGACUCGCUAUGCAGCUGCAGGGGGACGUAGCAAAGUUAUUAUCUUAUUUUAUUAAUACAACUUGUGGUCGUGCCCUUUUUCCGUGGCACCAUCUAAGCUGCUCUGUGUACUUUGUCGUCUGUGUAAAUGUUUUUUAAACCUGGUGGAUUCCUCCACUGGCCAUGUCAUUUAUUGCAUGAUAAAUACAUUCAUGGUCAUGGUCUCUCUCUCUCUCUGUGUCCUCCAGCUUCGGGGUAUUUUACACAAUGUCAUGACAAUGUUAUCUUAAGGAGCUUUUUAAUCCACGGCAACGCCAUAAACUAUAUCAUUAGUUGGAAUGCUUUAAGCAUUCCAAGUAUUGUUCUUCUAAUCUUUAUUCAACUUAUUAUUAUUCUAUUUCUUCCGCGCCCCCUUUCAACUGCUUCCCAUUUUCAGCUAUUUAAACCGUUCAAAUUUUAAAAUAUUCAGCUUCUUUCUGGCUUGAGGGCUAUGUAUGUUCAGCUUUCUAGCUCUUAAGCUUGAAUUUAUAUAAAUCAAUAAUCAUUAAUAUUUUAACAUGGUUUUCAAAUGGAGUUUGCUUUUCAAAUCCUCUUCAACUUCUUCAACUUUCAGAUUUUUCAGCUCCGCCAAUCUUUCAGCUACAGACACCAUUUCAACUCUCAAAUGUUCACACAAGUCUCAACUAUUUUAUGAAAAAAACUGCUUCUUGAUAUCUAUUGUACUUUUUUCAUAAUCACUGAUUAUGUUUCACUAGUUUUUCGCUCCGUUUCUGACUUUUACAUGAGUGUGUAUUGCGUCUGCUAGAGUGGAGAGCUCCAGGGCUAGAGGCUGAAGCAGCGCAGAAAUCUGGUUAAAAAAGUAUGGAACUUCUGUCCUUGCAGCCAAAGUAUACACUCUAGAGGCUUCAUUUCUUCAGAUUAAUGAGGGUAUGGUUGUGCUGAUUGGAUUAAUGUGUUCAUGGAAUCCCAGAGUUUUUUAGUUUUGGCGCAAGGAGUGUUUGAGUGACACAACCUCUGCCAAAAGCCCCAUAGGCUCCAAUACAAAUCUGCCGACAUAUUUCUCACAAAAAUCCACAAGGUACACGUUCUGUCAACGGCCAUAGGAGCCGUAUUUAUUACCGGACAGACAUAAAAAGCACAUCCACGCGUUCGGUAGAGUCUUGGGUCUCAUACAAACGGCGUAUUUUUUAGAUAGCUGUUAUAGUUUUUCGCUGGUUCCCAUUUGUUUGAGGUGUGGAUUCUGUGUAACUCGCUGUCCUGUGUCUGCACUUUUGCAGCAGCUCGUUAAUGAGCACAGGUGCGCCGUUGUCGUGGUUACGAGCACUCACACGCUGCAGGAUCUGUCUGUGGCUCACAGCUGCUCCCUAUGACCUGAUUAGUGGAGUCACAUGACGCAGCUAUGCUUUCUGUCAACAGACCAAUAUGAUAAAGACACUAGCCCCCCUCCCCCCUCCACCCUGACCUCUACUUACUGUUAAUCACUCUCAGUCAGUCAGUCAGUCUAAUUCUCCUCCCCUCUCCCUCUCUUCCUCACCACCAUUCCCCUUCCUCACCCUCUCACCCUCCCUCCCUCUAUCUACACCCCCCCACCCCACCCAAUCCAAUAGGUGCGCCGUUGCCGUGGUUACUCGUAAACACGCUGCAGUAUCUCUGUGUGUGACUCACAGCUGCUCCAAUGACCUGAUUAGUGGAGUCACAUGACGCAGCUAUGCUUUCUGUCAACAGACCAAUAUGAUAAAGACACUCGCCCCCCCUCCCCCCUCCCCCCUGACCUCUUCUCACUGUUAAUCAUACAGUCUGUCUGUCUAUUUCUCCUCCUCUCUCUCUCCCUCUAUCUCUUCCUCACCACCCCUCCCUUCCUCACCCUCUCACCCUCCCUCCCUCUAUCUACACCCCCCCAACCCACCCAAUCCAAUAAUUUCAAAAUAAAAGCCACAUGGAGGGAAUUUUUACUGUAAUGUUUGUGAUGAGGCCUAUUAAUUAAAAACUUCUUAGUUUGAAUAACAAACAUUCUGUCUCCCACUACGAAUAUUACUCGUACUUCUAGUACUACAACUGAUACUUCUACUACCAUACUACUAGUAUUUCUACUGCUAUUAAUACUACAACUACUACUAAUGUUAUUACAAAUACGACUAUGGCUAAUAGUAUUACAGCUGUUUCUACUGCUAUUGAUACUAAACCUACUAUUACUGCUAGUACU